GGGGGCUGUGGCUCAAUAGAAGAGCCUCUUCUUUGCAAGCAGAAUGUCCCAGGCUCAAUCCUUGGCAUCUCCA
rnacentral:tRNA from 1 species